UACGGAGGGUGCAAGCGUUAAUCGGAAUUACUGGGCGUAAAGCGUGCGCAGGCGGUUUGUUAAGUCCGUUGUGAAAGCCCCGAGCUCAACUUGGGAAUUGCAGUGGAUACUGGCAGGCUGGAGUACGGUAGAGGAAGGUGGAAUUCCCGGUGUAGCAGUGAAAUGCGUAGAUAUCGGGAGGAACACCAGUAGCGAAGGCGGUUCUCUGGGCCUUACCUGACGCUGAGGAGCGAAAGCGUGGGGAGCGAACAGG
rnacentral:rRNA from 1 species